UGGAUGAUGAUGAAGCAAUUACUAAUAAUCCAACACUUGAUCUGAGAUAAUGUAUUCAUUAUCUGCUGAUGCUACUCUUAGCUUCUAAAUCUAC